rnacentral:rRNA from 1 species
CCUGAACGCUGGCGGCGUGGCUAAGACAUGCAAGUCGCACGGUGUAGCAAUACACAGUGGCGAACGGGUGAGUAAUGAAUCGCUAAUGUACCCUGGACUCUGGGAUGGCUAUCCGAAAGGAUAGGUAAUACCAGAUGAAAUAACUUUCCUGCAUGGAGAGUUCUCAAAGGUACCGCCGGUCGUGGAGGCAGGCGGAUUUCGUUAUCAGCUAGUUGGUGGAGGUAACGGC